rnacentral:lncRNA from 7 species
UUUUCAGAUUACUGAGACAAUGCUUUUGAGCAACUUCUGACUACCACUGAUGUAAAGAUAUCCCAUUGUCUCUGAGAUUCUGAUCAACUGAAGCCAAAGCAUGUAUUAUGAAGUGCUUAGACAGGAUACAGUAUAUAUAUUCCUGAAAGGAAUACAAGCAAAAUGAACUAACAAAGUUGUCAGUCUUGCUGCUGGCUUGCCAAUAUCAGCCACUUGGCUUGAGGAAAAUAUCAUGGGAAAUUCUAAGGAUCAAUCAGCCAACAGCCAAGGAUGGGAGCAAAGAACUUUUUCCAUUUGUUACAUGAAAAGACUAUAAAUUAGAGCAAGAAGCCAGCCCUGCUCCUCAGUCACUGUGGUUGUGAACACUUUGGGAAAUGCAAAAUGUGUGUUUUUUCAUUCUGAUGACUUACUUUGAGAAUCUAAAGUUCAAGAGUACACUUGGUCAGUAUUGAUUCCUUGGAUGAAGACCAAAAGUAAAGAAGAAAACUCAGGCUUUCCUCUGUUGUAAGCAAAUGCAUUGUGCACUCUGACAGCCUGAAUAAGGCAAGGUUGGUCACAGCUCUACAUCCAAGAUCCAACCAGUAGUAAGGCUGAGCAUAUAUUUCUGAUAGGUUGCACUGGCAACAAAGUAACCUGUUAGUGUUACAGAGGAUAACACCGAGUUGCUGAAGAUCAUAAAAUGCCCAUAAAAAAGAAGAAAGAGUAUGUAAAUAAAGCAAGUAAGAGUAACCAAGCUGUAGCCUCAAGAAAAAAGGCUUAAACUAAUCUUAAAUUUUAAUCCUAGCAAACUUGUAUUCUUAUGCCAACACAGAAUGUAGAAGAUUUAAAUAUAUACCAAAAACUUUCUCACUUUCUUCCUUUAGGAGUUGAUACCUAAAUGCACUGUUUCCCAUGCAAAUUUUAAUGGAACUCUUUAAAUUUAAAAAAUGUACUGUAGAGAUAGACAUAGACAUGGUUUUAUUGUGUAUGUAUAUAUAUACUUUUUUUUUCUACAGGGCAUUGUGUAAGUUAUGAAGUAGCAAGACUUUUUAUUUUAACAUGCCAAUGUGGAAUGCAGACUUUAAUAAUCAUUUUGAUUGUGCUUUGAGCGUAGGCUUACAGGUCACUGAAUGCGUUUCACUAACUCAUCACAAACUACAAUGUCAAAGUCACCUGCUGUUCCACCUUCACCCAAAAUAAACAGCAUGAAGAAUUCAAACAUGUUUCUUGCUCACCCCUAAGCUUUCAGUAAACAAAUAAAAACCAAGCAAUUCUUACUGGCUC